CCAGUGGUGGAGUAGUGGUUAGAGUGUCAGGCUACUAGGACCUGGGAGAGACCUGGGUUCAAAUCCCAGAACUCUCACUGGA